GCAGUGGUGGUUCAGCGGUAGAAUUCUUGCCUUCCAAGCAGAGGACCAAGGUUCGAUUCCUAGCCAAUGCA
rnacentral:tRNA from 1 species